GUUGAAUAAAGGUGUGUUUGGUUCAUGGUGUUGUUGAAUAAAGGUGUGUUUGGUUCAUGGUGUUGAAUAAAGGUGUGUUUGGUUCAUGGUGGUGAAUAAAGGUGUGUUUGGUUCAUGGUGGUAUUGAAUAAAGGUGUGUUUGGUUCAUGGUGGUGUUGAAUAAAGGUGUGUUUGGUUAAUGGUGUUGAAUAAAGGUGUUUUUGUUCAUGGUGUUGUUGAAUAAAGGUGUGUUUGGUUCAUGGUGUUGAAUAAAGGUGUGUUUGGUUCAUGGUGUUGAAUUAAGGUGUGUUUGGUUCAUGGUGUUGAAUAAAGGUGUGUUUGGUUCAUGGUGGUGAAUAAAGGUGUGUUUGGUUCAUGG